ACCCCCCCUGCAGCUACUCACGGUCUACCUUCUCUCUCCGCACAGGGGGCAAGAGCUGGGGUGAAGCCUGGGCCGGUGUGUUGGCGGUGUGGGGAGCCCGGACAUUUCCAGGACCAGUGCCACCACAUGGAGGUCGGAACAUUGGUCCGGGUUCCCACAUCGCCACCCACCUCCCCUGAUCGAGCUGGAGCGUACCGCAUACCAGGAGAAGCGCAGCGGCAGCAGGACCAGCAAGAGAAAGCCGGUGCAGUCGGUAAAGGUGGGAGGAGACUUUAGACUAAGAGAGAGUGAGUGCAAGCAGUGGAGGAUGCACAAACCUCAAAUUUGUCACAGG